rnacentral:rRNA from 1 species
AGCGAACGCUGGCGGCAGGCCUAACACAUGCAAGUCGAACGAGACCUUCGGGUCUAGUGGCGCACGGGUGCGUAACGCGUGGGAAUCUGCCCUCUGGUACGGAAUAACUCAGGGAAACUUGAGCUAAUACCGUAUAAUGACUUCGGUCCAAAGAUUUAUCGCCUGAGGAUGAGCCCGCGUCGGAUUAGCUAGUUGGUGAGGUAAAAGCUCACCAAGGCGACGAUCCGUAGCUGGUCUGAGAGGAUGAUCAGCCACACUGGGACUGAGACACGGCCCAGACUCCUACGGGAGGCAGCAGUGGGGAAUAUUGGACAAUGGGCGAAAGCCUGACCCAGCAAUGCCGCGUGAGUGAUGAAGGCCUUAGGGUUGUAAAGCUCUUUUACCCGGGAUGAUAGUGACAGUACCGGGAGAAUAAGCCCCGGCUAACUCCGUGCCAGCCGCCGCAGUAACAC